UUUUCUCAUGGGUUCUGAAGAGCCAGGAAUGAAAGAGAAGAUGAGGAAAAGGAAAGGAUGGCAGACCCAGAGAGGUUUACAUGCUGCCCUAUGGUAAUAGUCUGGGCAAAAAUGUUUUUUUCAUCUGCAGGGAUUGGGAAUGGGGUUCGAGAUUUAAAGGCAAAAAGAGAACUUAGGAAACUUUCCAGUUGCCAGAGUCUAUUGGAAGGAGAAAAAGAAGUUGACUGAGAGGGAAUUGGAUGAAAAGACCUUCUUCGCACGAUAAUGGCCUUGACCCAUCCCAUCCAGUACCCAGAGCAAGGAUGGUGGGAGAAAGGGAAUAUCCUUCCUUCCCUUACUCAGUUCAAGUCAAGUGGGACGAAAGGCGAGAGCCUCGGCCUGCCACAACUCUUGGAAAACUUCGGGCAAGCAGGAAGAACAUGGGGCCCCACCAAAGGAACCGCACAAUGAAAAAUCCAUCGGGAGCCAUAGGAGGAGUUGGGGAGCAACUAAGAGUCAGUGUCUAAGAAAAGCGAGGGGGCUACUCGAUAAAUAUACCUUAGACACUUAGACACUGAUAACAGCGGUACCGGGAUCUCAAUUCCCAUCGCCGAACUGUCUCAGCCAGGAUGCAGGUGGACCGAGGAGGAAAAGUUUCCUAAGAAGGGAAGAUGCUUGGGGAAAUCGUUCUUUCUUCCGUUUCUGUGCAGCUGGAGGGCCUGGGAUAAACCCUUAAAAACUGUGUAAAAAAAAUGUAAAGGGUAUGUGGGAUGGGGCUCGAUCUUAGAAAGAAUAAAGCCACUCGAUUGCUA